rnacentral:ncRNA from 1 species
CACCGAUAAAGGCAAACCAGUUGAAAGGCUGGGACGCAAAGCUAAAGGGCCUAAUCGAAAGAAUGGCAGCCUAGCCACCGAA